CGCCCUGCUAAGAAGCGUGUGUGCUUGUACAAAGGCCGUUCAGCCUCGGGAUUUACACUCGGCUCGACACGGAUAUGUGAAGAAUGAAGGGACCCUGCAGCGAAACGGAGAGCGCAACCUCUGACUGAGUGCCUGUCUACACAGUCUGACCACCUGUUGAAGGGCUGUUUGAUGACGAUUUGGACUCCUCUGGGAGAUGAGGACACACCCACAUCUGUUCCAUACUGCAGCCAUGGAUGGUGUUACAGCUCCGAGUCAGCUUUGGGCCAUCAGACGCACACACUGGAAAACCAGCACCUGGACUUCAUGCAGGAGAGACGGCCUCAGUGAUAAUUCAUCAGCAGCUGUGAAGAGAUGCAUUUGAAUAUCUUCUGGUUCCACUUUUCCUAACCUGGAAGCUGAGGAUGGCUGAUUUCUGACAAGGACACACACCUCAGCGCUUAUCAUGGGUGUUACAUCCUCCGUGCAGCAAUUCCAGAGAAAACGAGAGAGCAACGACCACUCAUUAAGACCAGACAGAAAUCUGUCCCUUUUUGGCAGCUGUGGAAACUUCCAAUAAGAAAGUUUGCAUUCUUAGAACAAUGCUGGGUCGUGUGUGAUGUGUCAUCAUAUGAGGAUAUUACAUUUUGACUUAAUUCUGCUCAAUUAAGUGUUUUGAUCGUUGAUCCAGUAUAGCAGCUUUGUGUUGUGCAGCAAGUUAAAACCCAUUGUCCUCACGAGCACAGCAUCUAACAACUCUCCUUAAAAAAACCGAAUGACUUUAACUGGACACAAUGGUUUCCAGUGGGAGAUACAUUCAUCACUCAUCCGUGACACUGGAGAAGUCACCUGGAUGAGUGAUAAAACAAUUUUCCAUGGAAAAUCCAGAGGAACUAAACUUUGUUGUUGUUUCUCUGGGCUCAAUUUCAGCCUCAGGAGCAUCUCUCAGAAGAAAACAUUUUGCCAAUAAUCAGAUAAAAAGAUUGUUGAACCAGGUGGUAUUCUCUGGAGUUUAAGACCAAAACUGAACUCAGUGAAUUGACAUUAGACUGGAAUUCAUAAGAUAAAUCGAAAUACUGCUG